ensembl:misc_RNA Y_RNA Y RNA
AGCUGGUUGGACUGUAGUGGUGUUUACAACUAAUUGAUCACAACCAGUUACAGGUUUAUUGGUUCCUUUUCCACUCCCACUGCUUCAUGUUACUAGCCUAUA